UUUUUUUUGUUGGGUCGGGGGGGGGGGGGGGGGGGGGGGGAGUUUUACGAUCAUUCUGGGGAUUUGGAUGAGGAAGUUCGGGCUGAUAACUCAAUGUGGUUAACAGUGUAUGAGGCUUGUAAUGAAAGGAUUACUGAACGUAAGGAACUGGGAGUAAUCAAAAGUAGUAGUGACAAAGGCAGGGGGAAGGAAGGGGUUGGUGACAUAUAUGAUGCUCAAGUUGAGAGAAGUGAGCCGGAGGGUAAAUGGGAAGAGAGUGGCUUGGUGAGGUUCAACCAGUUCCUGGGCUUCCCUACGGAGGGGCUGGAGAAGGAAAUAUUGAAUUUUUUGACCAAGAUUAGAAAAAGACGGGAGAAAAUUCAUAGCAAAGAGCUACUGGAAAAGUCUAAGUUUGAAAGGGAGCUAAAAAGACUGGAAUGUUCCAUAAACUAUGAGGGGGGGAUGAAACAGAAAGGCUCGAUAUAGGGCAAAGGGCGCCAAAUUGUGAUUGUCCAAUGAAGGUGAAAAUUUUGAGUUGGAACGUGAAGGGAGCAAAUGAUAGCUCCAAAAGAAAAGUGAGUAAGACGUUCAUAAGAAAUCAGAGGGUGGACUUAAUUUGUAUUCAGGAGACAAAAAUGCAGUUUAUGACGGAUAGCAUUGCGAGAAGUAUAGGCUUCGGAAGAUUCCUAGGUUGGAAAGCUGUGAAUGUGGAGGGAGCUUCGGGAGGAAUUUUUAUAUGCUGGGAUAGAAGGUCUUUGGAAAUCCUAGAUUGGGAGGAGGGACUGUUUACUCUAUCUUGCAGAUUCCGGAAUGUAGAAAAUGGGGUUGUCUGGGUUUUUACGGGAGUGUAUGACCCUUUCUCUAAAGUAGAAAGGGAUGCAUUAUGGGAAGAGUUUGGGGCGAUUAGAGGGCUGUGGGAAGACCCUUGGUGCAUAGGGGGGAUUUUAAUAUCACUUUGUUUUCGAGGGAAAGGAGUAGCCAGAGGAGAAUUAACUCAGCAAUGAGAAAAUUUGCUGAAACUGUGAAUGAUCUUGGGCUGGUGGAUCUUCCUCUUCAGGGGGGAGAUUUUACUUGGAAUGGGGACCAAAAUAAUCAGACUUGGGCAUGUCUGGACAAGUUCCUUGUGUCUCUUAGUUGGAUAGACCAAUUCAGUGGGAUUAAUCAGUGCAAGCUGCCCCGUCCGGUAUUCGAUCAUUUCCCAAUUAUGUUAGCGGGGGAUGGGAUAAGACGAGGCCCGACUCCAUUCAGAUUUGAAAACAUGUGGCUUAAGGCUGAGGGCUUCAUAGAGCUUGUAUGCAGCUGGUGGCAAGGAAUUAAUGUUAGGGGCAGUGCUAGUUACAAGUUGGCUACUAAGAUGAAGGAAAUCAAACAGAAGCUGAAAGUUUGGAAUAGAGAAGUCUUUGGUAAGCUAGAGUGCAACAAAUCUACAGCCUUGCAACAGGUGGAAUUCUGGGAUAGGGAGGAAAAUGAAAGAAUUUUGACUGUGGAGGAAUCAGAGCUUAAGAAAGAGGCAAAAGAAAAUUACAGAAAAUGGGUGAUUAUGGAGGAAACUCAUUGGAGACAGCUCUCAAGGGAAAUAUGGCUGAAGGAGGGGGAUAGAAACACGGGUUUCUUUCAUCGCAUGGCAAGUGCUCACCGUAGAAAUAAUUUUUUGGAGAGAAUUAAGAUCAAUGGGGAAUGGUUUCUAGAGGAGCAGGAAAUUAGGGAAGGAAUUGCUAAUGCGUUUAAAAAUUUACUCUCAGAAGAUACGGGGUGGAAGGUGGAUAUUGGGAGUCUUUAGCUUGAUCAGAUCAGCCAACAAGAGGCUGUGAUUUUGGAGAGGCCCUUUACAGAGGAUGAAAUCCAUGUGACUUUGAUGGAGAUGAAUGGGUAUAAAGCCCUUGGCCCGGAUGGCUUUACUCUGGCUUUUUGGCAAAGUUGUUGGGUGUUUAUUAAAGAGAAGAUUCUAGAAAUGUUCAAGGAAUUCUACGAACAUAGCUCUUUCCUCAAGAGCCUUAACAAUACUUUCUUGGUAUUGAUCCCCAAGAAAAGUGGGGCUGAGGACCUUGGAGAAUUUAGACCUAUUAGUCUCCUAGGGGGGCUUUACAAGUUAUUGGCUAAAGUGCUGGCUAACAGAUUGAAGAUAGUGGUUGGAAAGGUGGUCUCUACUUCUCAGAAUGCCUUUGUGAGGGGAAGACAAAUUCUUGACGCUUCCUUAAUUGCAAAUGAAGUGAUAGACUCGUGGCAGAAACGAAAAGAAAAGGGCCUUAUAUGCAAACUGGAUAUAGAAAAAGCUUAUGACAGUAUCAAUUGGAAGUUUUUGUUGAAGGUGUUGCAGAAAAUGGGUUUUGGGCCUAAGUGGGUGGGGUGGAUGUCGAGCUGCCUAUCUUCAGCUAAAUUUUCAGUGUUGGUUAAUGGAGUGCCUGCAGGCUUCUUUCCUAGCUCUAAAGUUCUUAGACAAGGAGAUCCCCUGUCUCCUUAUCUCUUUGUUAUGGGAAUGGAAGUGCUAGAUGUUCUUAUUAGGAGAGCUAUGGAGGGGGGUUUCUUAUCAAGGUGUAACAUAAGGGGUGGUAGUGAACCUCCUUUGAACAUCUCUCACUUGUUUUUUGCUAACGACACCAUUAUUUUCUGUGAGGCUAGAAAGGAUCAUCUAACUCAUUUAAGUUGGAUUUUAUUCUGGUUUAAAGCGGCGUCAGGCCUAAGGAUUAAUUUAGCCAAGAGUGUAAUCAUUCCAGUUGGAGAGGUGGUGGAGAUGGAGGAGUUGGCUGUUGAGCUAGGUUGCAAGGUGGGGUCCUUACCUUCUCAGUACUUGGGUCUUCCUUUAGGGGCUCUCAAUAGAGCGCCUUAUAUGUGGGAUGGGGUGAAAGAGAGAGUCAGGAGGAGACUAGCCCUUUGGAAAUGACAAUAUAUUUCUAAAGGGGGAAGAGUCACUUUAAUAAAAAGUACUUUGUCUAGCAUGCCAAUCUACCAAAUGUCUAUCUUCAGAAUGCCCAAGAUUGUUGCUAGAAGACUUGAGAAAGUGCAAAGGGACUUUUUGUGGGGAGGGGGAAAUAUGGAGGGGAAAACUCACUUGGUAAAUUGGGAGGUGGUAUGUACAGACAAGGAUAAAGGUGGGCUAGGCCUUAGGAAGCUAGCUAUGUUGAACAAAGCUUUACUUGGAAAGUGGAUAUGGAGGUUUGCUUGUGACAAAGAUAAUCUUUGGAAACAAGUGAUCAAGGUGAAGUAUGGGCAGGAGGACUUUGGUUGGAGGCCAAAGAAGGCUACCGGGGCGGUGGGAGUAGGGGUUUGGAAGGAGAUUUGGAAAAAAUCAGAAUGGUGUUGGGAUAACAUGACUUUCGGAGUAGGGAAGGGCAACACGAUCAGACUUUGGACAGAUGUGUGGUGUUCAGAGUCAACGCUGUCCCAUUGUUUUCCUCAUCUCUUUGGUAUGGCGGUUCAAAGGAACUCAACGGUUGAGGAAAUGUGGGAUCAAAAUUCGGGUCAAGGAAAUUGGAAUCUAAAUUUUUUGAGGGAUUUCAAUGAUUGGGAGUUGGAGUUGGUUGGGGAUUUUCUACACAUAUUGAGGGGUCUCAAACCCUCUUGGGAGGAAGAUUCAGUCCUGUGGAGGAAAGGAAGAAGUGGUCAAUUCAGGGUCAAGGAAGCUUAUAAUUUGUUGGUGAGGUCUAAUGAUACAAACUUUCCAUCAAGAAGCAUUUGGGUGGCAAGGGUGCCAACUAAAGUUGCUUUUUUCGCGUGGGAGGCGACGUGGGGGAGGGUGCUUACCUUGGAUAGACUUCAAAGAAGAGGACUACAACUUCCAAAUCGCUGCUUCCUGUGUGGUUGUGAGGAAGAAAGUGUAAAUCAUAUCCUUAUACAUUGUACAGUGGUUAGAGCUCUAUGGGAUAUAGUGUUUGGUUUAGUUGAUGUGAAAUGGGUUUUUCCAGAAACUGUAAAGGAGGUUUUAGUUAGCUGGAGGGGUCCGUUUGUGGGAAAGAAAAGGAAAAAGAUUUGGGACGCCAUUCCGUUGUGUAUUUUUUGGACGGUGUGGAAGGAGGGGAAUAGAUUAGCUUUUAGGGGGGGAGGGGUGUGUUGAACGUUCAGAAGCUAAAGAAUUUUUUUGUUUGUAAUCUGUGGAGUUGGGCCAAAUUGUAUGUAGGUGAGGAGGCGUUCUCCCUUAUAGGCUUCCUAGAGUGGAUAACUUCCACUUAAAGGGAGGUGAUUUUUUUGUUGUUGAUUUUUGAGGCCUUAGUUGCCUUGUAUACCUUGUGGCGUUGUGCCUUUUGAAUGCAUAUCCUUUACUUAUCAAAAAAAAAAAAAAAACCUCUUUACCACCAGGGAAAGAGGGAGAUAAAGACUACUCCUUUCAUCCCCAAAUGCUUGGCCAAAGCUCUGCCUAUUUUAAUCUUGCUCAUGUCUACUUCUGGGUUUUAGUAGACCAUUGCCCUAACCCAUCUCCCCACUAGCAUAGAACCUUCUCUUCUUAGCACUUUCUUAGCCAUGGCAUUCGCAUAAUAGAGCUUCACCAAAUGAAAGUCUAUUCUCUCCUUGACAAUUUUUGCUUACUAGUUUUUGCUACUUGUGUUCCCUUGAAGACCAUUGGUUGAGAUGGAAACAAAUUCAAAGACGAUAUGGAUUCUCUUAGUAUUUCUCACUCGUUGCUAUUUAAACCUUUUUAUAGAAUCACCUGAAAGGUUGUUUUUCGGUUUGUCACAAACUUUAAGCUUUUCAAGAAUUUGUCAUUAAUGUUCAUCUUUACCUCCAAAAGGUGCACUCUAGUGUUAACCUUAAAAUUUGUGACUAAAUCCUAGGAACCUGUCCAUCUCUAUAGCCUUCUUCAAAUAGUCCAAAAUCCAAUCAAUCUCUUCUUUCUCAAAUCCUAGGGUAAAGGAAGCUCCUUGAGUUUGCUUUGUGAUAGAAAUCCAUGGCCCUCCAUUCUUUCCUUCAAACCUUAACUCAAACGUCUCUAUCUCCAUUGAGUAAAUUCUUCUCUAGCUGUUGUCUUGCUUCAUUUUCUUUCUUUGUUUGUAUCUUACACUUUAGUUAAUUAAUCUCUCUCAAUUGUGACUAUCAAAAAUUGGUUUCUUGAUAUCACCUUGAGGAUAAGGUUGGAAUUUAAGAGAGAAGGAGUUGAUACACAUCUUUAAAUAUUCUUUACUGAUGUGUUCAUAGUUGUGAAAGGUGCGCCUAGGCUCCAUGUGGUGCGACACCAUGCUGCGGUGCCUCACCCGACUCCAAGCGUCGCCCCUUCACGAAGGCAUUGAUUAGGCGCACAAGGCGCUCGCUUCCGGCUAGCUAUGAUGUCCCAAACAAGUCUGCCUUCUUCCUCAUUCUUUUUUUUUUCCUUCUUUUGGUCUUCUUCUUCUUCUCUAGCGACUGAGUUGCAAAGGAGAACACGACAUUGCUAAGGGUUUUUUUUUUUUUUUUUAAUUUGCUAAGACCAAAAUGACUCGUUUUGGUCUUUUUCUUUUUAAAGAAUAGGGUUCAAAACAAUGUUGUUUUGGACCUGUUCUUGACUUCCAACCCCAAAUUUGCUUGUUUUGAAGCUGACAAAACCUAAAAAAAACCCCUAGCUUAGCCUCUGCCUCGUGUGCCUGUGAAGAAGAGAAGAAGACGAAGAAGAAAAGGAAAAAUAGAUGUACCUUGAAAUUUUGGAUAAUGUUUGAUGAUAUAUGUGUUUAUGACAAAUAAAUGAUUAUUAAAUUUGAUUAUAUUAUAUAAAAUUAUGUAUGUAAAAUAGGGCGUGCCUCACUUCACUAAAGCCCAUACCUUAGGUGCGCCUUGCGCCUUAGGCUCUAGGAGGACUUUGUGCCUUGGUGCAUUUUAAGCCUUUUAAAACCAUGGAUGUGUAAUUUUGAAUGGGUAAAAUUAGUUGUUGUUAGCGGGUUUUGUUGGGUUGUUUAGAUUCUAUAGGUAAUUUAUUUGGCGUUUGCCUACUUUUUAGGAAUAAGUUGUAGUUGCUAAUUUUAUUUAAAGCUGAUGAAUAAGAGGAGGGGGACACUCUAAUUUCCAACUUUUAUUUUUAUUUGGAUGUAUAAGGUUCCUUCAAAUGAAGUUGCUAUCUUAAUUAUAUUUUAGUUAUCUUCCCAAGAUAGGCAGAUGCAAGUAGACUAUAUUUCAAUUGGCUAUACUAAAUUCAUUCUUAGAAUUUUAAAAUAAAUAAAUAAAGGUUUUGAAUAUAGCAACAAGAAAAGAAAGAAAGAAAAAAAGAACGAAGAAAAAAUCAAUUAAAGUUUAUUUAUUUCUAAGGUUUCUCCGCAACCUACUCUUUCCUAAACAUAUGGUCAACCAUCUACAUACUUGCAUGGAAAUAACCUUAAUUAGUUGGUCAUGCUAGUGAUCAACAUUUAUUCUACUAAUUAGUGCAAAUUCUAACACUCAUUCUCAAGCUAGUUUGAAGAUAUUAUGCAUUCCUAGUUUGGUUGCAAUGAAGUUGAAUGUGACACUUGGAACUCUUGGUGAAAAUAUUGUUAGUUGUUGUUUGGCUGUCAUGAAAGGGGUACAAAUCUAACUGUUGUUGAUUUAUCCAUCUCAACAUGCUUUGUUCUAUCAUGUUGCUCUAUAUUGUGUGCAUUACUUAUUACAACUUUCUUGUUAAAGUAAAUCUUCAUAAUUUCUUUAGAAUCCAUUCUUUGUUCCUUAAGCAAGAUCCUAAUCUACAAUAAUUCACAAAUUCCUUAAGCUAUUGCUCAAAACUCAGCUUUUGCACUUGAUUUAACCAUAACAAGUUGCCUUUUACUUUUCCAGUGACUAGGUUUUCUCUCGGAAAUGUAUAGUAGCGCGAUGUUGAUUUUCUAUCUGUAAUGGACCUUUUCUUUACCAAGAGUUGACUUUAGGUAUCUCAAGAUUCUUUGAAUUGCAUCCAUGUAACAUUCUAAAGGUGAGUGCAUGAGUUUGGCUAACCAUGCUGAUAGCAUAGGCUAUAUCAUGCCUUAUUUGAAAUUGGUAGAUCAAUUUUCCAACAAGUCUUUGAUGUCUUCCUUUAACACUAAAAUUCCUUUUGUGAUUAAUGUAUUAGUAGGUUUAAUAAUCGUCUCAUUGAGUAGAUCUAGGAUAUACUUCUUUUGUGAGACGAAGAUUUCUUUACUUGAUCUGGUCGCUUAGAUCCUAAAAAAAUGUCUCAAGCUUGCUUUUUUUUUUUUUUUGUUUUAGAUUUUCCAUCUUCUCCUUAUCAUCGCUUGUGACAAUUAUAUUAUCUACAUGAAUAAUUUGUAUUGUGAUAUUCAUGUGUGUGGUAUGUUUAAUGAGCAAGGUAUGACUCCAUUGACUUUGACAAACCAACAUUUAAGUAAGGACUUGGUGAACUUCUCGAACCAUGUUCUAGGAGAUUGCUUCAACCUAUAUUGAUUUUUCCAAUCUACACACUUUCCUUUGAUUAAAAUGGUUCUCAAAUCCAGGUGGUAGGUUUAUGCAAACCUCUUCAUCCAAUUUUCCAUGUAGAAAAACAUUUUUUACAUCAAAUUAUUGUAAGGGCUAAACUAGAUUAGCUAUCUCGGUUAAUAGGACUCUAAUGGAGUUCAUCAUAGUGAUAAGGACAAAGAUUUCUUGAUAAAUAAUCCCAUAGGUCUUUGUGUGCCCCUUAGUCAGUAAUCUAGCCUUGCACCUCUCAUUUAACUCAUCCACCUUAUUUUUGAUGGUGAAAACCCACUUGCCCCCAUACUAGUCUUUUUCCUUGGGGUAAUUCAACCACUUCCUAAGUUUUAUUCUUAUGGAAUGUUCUCAUUUAAUGGCUUCCCUCCACUUUGGAUUGUUUAAAGCCUCUUUUACAUUUUUAGGAACAAAUUUUAUGGAGAAUUUAGUGGUGAAUGUCUUGUUGUUGGGGCUAGUUGAUGUAAAGAUAAAAAAUUUGAAAGGGGAUGUUUUUGUACAAGCUCUAACACAUUUCUAAUGAUAAUUGGAAUAUUCAAAUUUGUGUAAAAUAGAGGUGCAUAAAGAAGAAUGUUAGGAAUAUCUAUGUUUAGAGUUCAAGAUUGACUGCACGAGAGAGAAAUGGGAUAUUUGAUGUUGUCCUGCUUCCUCGAAUAGAUUAAAGAUCAAGUCCAUUUUCUGCUCUUUUUGCAUUAUUCCUGUCCACUGCAUUACACCGUCUGGUUUACCCUUUUUUUCCCUCAUUCUCCCUUGUGCAUCAUUAACUCUCUCUUUCACUGCAUCACUGAUCUGGUUGUUAGACAGAAAAUGAGGUGAUAAGAUCAUGUAAGGGAAGAUUAGGUGAUGGAUGGAUAGAAGAAGAAGGAAUAGGCAUGUAGAAAUGUAGGCAUUAAGGAAAAUAAAUUUUUAUUAACCUUCUUUUCUGAAUAAUACAUGAAGGAUACAAUACAAGUUUAUAUAGAGACCCCUCUAGCUAGAAAAUAGGAACUUCCCUAAAAAAUAGAGACUCCUCUAGCUAGAAAUAGGAACUUCCCUAAAAAAUGGUCUAUGAAGUCCCUUGGUUAGGAUGUCAGCCAGUUGCUGUGUAGUUAGAACAAAUGGCGUGCAUAUAAGACUGGGUUGAAGUUUUUCCUUUAUGAAAUGUCUAUCAAUCUCCACAUGUUUAGUCCUAUUAUGCUGAACUGGAUUAUGUGUAAUACUGCUUGCAACUUUAUUAUUGCAAUAAAGCUUCAAAGGGUAGAUUGUUGGUUGUCUUAACUCUUUUAGGACAUGCUUAAGCCACAUCACAAACCCCAUAUGCCAUCGCUCUAAAUUUUGCCUCCACAUUACUCUUAGCUACUAAACUUUGUUUUUUACUCCUCCAAGUAACCAAAUUUAUCCAAAUAAAUGUGCAAUGCCCUGAGGUCGAUCUCUUAUCAGCUACUGAACCAGCUUAGUCUGCAUCCAUGUGUACUUCAACUCUCCACUGCUUAUUCUUCUUAAAAAAUAGCCCUUUUUGUGGUGUAUUCUUCAAGUACCUUAAAAUUCUAUAAACUGCUUCGAGAUGCACUUCAAAAGGUGAAUGCAUAUAUUGACUUACCAUACUAACUACAAAGGCAAUAUCCAGUCAAGUGUGAGAUAAGUAAUAUUGGAAGAUUAUUAAGAUCAUUAAGAGACUCUACAUGUUUAAUAUUGGAAGAAGAAUAUGGUUUAGAUGGAGGCUUACCUUUCUCAAGGGGUGUGAUUAUAUCUGUUCUUGGGACAGAUUCAUGGCCUUACUAUAAAGUAGGUUCCUCCAUCCUUUUUGAAUAUGGUCUUGAGUAGACAUGACGCUCUUGAUUGUUUUUACUUGUAUUUUCAAUGAAUUCAGUAUUUUUAUGAUCCUGAUCAUGUGCUGACAUUAAGGUAGACUGUCCAAAUUUUCAAUAGCUAAAUCAUUUGUUCCCAAAGUUUGUCUACUACCUACAGACUCAUCAAACAUCGGUGGCUGUUUUUUUUGUUUUUUCUAGACAUUUUUCUUGGAAUUUUCAUGGAGUUUCUGAUUGCUGUUGAACUAACGGUGGCUGUAACAGUGGCUGGUCUAACUCAAACAACACAAUAGGAAUGAAAUCUACUCUUUUAUUCUCCCCUUGAGGAUGAUCAUGACUAAAGUAGGAUUUAGUUUCAAAAAAGGUGACAUCCAUUGUUACAAACAUUCUUUUAGUACAGGGAUCAAAGUAUUUAUACCCUUUUAGUGUUGAAGAAUAUCCAACAAAUAUGUAUUUGAAUGCUUUAGGAUCAAAUUUUCCACAGUUAUGAUUAUGGACAUGAAUGAAUGUAAUGCAAUAAAAAAUUUUCAAAGGUAAAUUCAUUGAAAUCUGUGAAGUAGGAAAACACAUGUUGAAAAAAUCAAUAGCAGUUUGAUAUUUUAAAACCUUGUUGGGCAUCCUAUUAAAAUAGCUUUGCCUUAAAGAUAUUUAGGAACUUUUGUUGAAAAGGUGAAUGAUCUAGCAACUUCUAAAAGAUGUCUAUUCUUUCUUUCUACCACUUCAUUUUGUUGAGGUGUAUCAACACAAGAACUUUCAUGUAUUAUGCCAUUUUCUGGAAAGUAGUUUUCUAACAAUUGAUUGGAGUAUUCCGUUCCAUUAUUAGUUUUAAAAUUUUGAAUAUUUGUUUAAAAUUGUGUUUUGACUGUUUUGUGAAAAGUUUUAAACAAUUAUGCUACUUUUGAUUUUUCUUUUAGCAAAUACGCCUAAGAAGGUCCCUAAACACCACUAUGUAUUACAAAAAAAGGUUUAGAGGCUUUAUAGGGUUGUGAAGGAAAAAAUGCAUGAUGAUGCUUUGCAAGUUCACAAAUUUCACAAUGGAAUGAAGAUGAAUCUUUAUUAAUAAACAACUUUGAAAAUAGAUGUUUCAAAUAUUGAAAAUUGGGAUGUCCUAACCUAAAAUGCCUUAACACUAUUUCAUUCUCACUAGAUAUUAAAACAAGUUCAAAACAAGUACUUUGGGCUUGUCUACCUAGUUUGAUUCCAUCUUCAAAGAAAUAAAGUCCUUCAUAGCAUUGCCAAUCAUCUUCCCUGAGUUCAAAUCCUAGACUUCACAUUGAGAUGAGAAAAAAUUAGCUUGAUAGUUUAAAUCAAAGGUUAAUUUACUAAUAAACAAUAAAUUUCAAGACAAAUUAGGAACAUGAAGGACAUUAUGGAGUGUAGGAAGUGAGGGAAUUUUGAUAGAUCAUUUUCCAACAAUAGUUGAAAGUGAUCCAUCUGCUAUUUUUAUUUGUUUGUUUCCUGCACAGGGACUAUAAGAAGAAAACAGAUUUGAAGAACUGGUCCUAUGAUCGGUUGCACUAGAAUCUAUGAUCCAUGGGCAAUUUGAAUCAAGGCUAAUAAGGGGUGUGGCAAGAUGAUUACCUUUUUGGGCUAAGGAACAAGAAAAGGAUCGACUUAAAGAGACCCGAGAUUGAAGAAGUUUGUACAAAUGCUCUAUUUGAUCCUUCGUAAAAGGAGAUGUUUCUAAGGACGGUUGUAGCCCUUGUUCAUCGCUUUCAACUUGGUAGGCACGACUCUCCCUGCCAUGUUUCUUCCUUUAGUUUGAUGGUUUUCUGUGAAUCUUCUAGAAGGUGUCACGAGUAUGCUAGGGUUUGUUACAGUGGUCAUACCAUGGUUUAUCAUCCUUUUUAGAAUUCCUUUUUUCUCCUUGAUCAAAUCCCUUUGUAACAAAGGCAAAACUAUCAAAUUUUGUUUUAGUCCUUGGUGACUCAAGGUUCAUCGUAACAAAUCUUCUAGCCUUCUCUCUUCUAACUUUAGAAAAACUUCUUGAAGAGAUGGAAAUCGUUUUCUCCCCAAGAUUUGACCUCUCACUUCAUCAAGGGAUUUUUUUGAUAAAGAUCCUAUGCUCUAAUACCAUGUAGGCUUUGAGGAAAAUAAAUUUUUAUUAAUCCUAUUUUCUGUAUAAUUCACGAAGGAUACAAUACAAGUUUAUAUAGAGACUCCUCGAGCUAGAAAAUAGGAACUUACCUAAAAAAUAGAGACUCCUCUGGCCAUAAAAUAGGAACUUACCUAAAAAAUAGAACAAGAAACUAACUAAAAAAAAUCCUAACUAAAUUUGAAUUUAAAAAUAAAUAUCACAACUCAUCCUUUUUCCUAAAAAUAACAACAAUAUUCCUAGAUUCUCGACAAGAAAUAUUCUUAUAUACUAAAUUUCUUCUCCUAAAGAUUAGUCUUAGAAUAGUAUGGUUGUUCUUGAAAAAAGCACACAUCCAUGGUGAGAAAUCUUUGUUUUGUAGGAGUAUAAAAGCAUUUGUAUUCCUUUUGAGUGGGAGAGUAUCAUAGGAAUAUACAUCUAAUAACACUUGCAUCAAGUUUUGUUCUUUCCCUAUAAGAAUUGCAUCUCCUUAAUAUACUUUAGGAACAUUAUGAGAGAACAUUAAAGCCUUGGCCACUUCCAAAAAAAGUCUAUUUUUCUCUUAGCCGCCCAUUUGUUAGGGUAUACCAACACAUAUAAUUAGGUGUGUGAUCCCAUUUUAAGAAAAGAUGAACUUAGGGUACCAUUUAGAUAUUCUCUCCAUUAUUAGACUUUAAAACUUGUAGUUUAGCAUAGUUUGGAUCAUUCUAUGGAAAUUUAGGGAGGUAGGGACAAUCUCAAAUUUAUCUUUGAGGAGAUAAAUUCAAGUAUCACAAGCACAAUCAUCGAUAAAACUAAUAAAACCAUUUGAAGUUACCUAAAAUUUAGGGUGGUAGGGACAAUCUCAAAUUUUGGAUGAGCAAGAUAGUUAUAAGGAGUACGAUGUCCAAAUCAGUGGGUUGUAGGAAUUGUAUUGUAUGCUGAUAUGGUACGUAAGCUGAGUAAGGAGUUCAUAUACAAGUUACCUAAAACAAAAGGUUCACCCACUUUUGAUGUUGACGUCGGUGUUGGUGUGGUUGGUUGCUUUCACUUGGUCAAAGAAGGCCAUGAAGAUGAUUGGAGAACAACUUUAAAGACAAAGAAAGGUCUCUUUAAGUGUACAAGAUUGACAGAGUUGAAAUUUUUGCAAGUCACAUGAUGGACAACUCACAAUUCUACAUUUUACAUGUAAAAUUUAUAUCAAGCAGAGUACUUUAUUGUUUGUAAUCAAUCCAUUCACAUGGGAAGAAAAAGAACAAAAUGGUGGAAGAGUUUGCUUUGGAUUUCUAUACAUCGAGGAAGUCAAUGAAACUCGAUGUUGAGUUUCUUCCUAGUUAGAGGGAAUGGUGAAGAAUUAACCCCCAGGGUUUAUUCACAACAAAAGAAAGACAUUGGUAGUUUGGUUUCAUUGUUUUAUUUAGUCUUUUUGUUAUAGUAGGAUUGAUAUUUAAUAGUUUACUUUUGUUAAGCUUUUUAUUUUAUUUUAGGUAGUGGCUGACUUUUUUGUUAAGUUUCUAUUCCUUUUAUUCUUCUUAUUAGCAUUAGGAAUGUUUCUAUUUCUUUUAAUUAGUGAAUAAUAUUCCUUUCCUAUUUUUGCAAGAAAUAUAAGAAAUUAGGAAAGUUAUCCUAUCAAGGAAGAGAGUCAUAAGAGUCUAUAUAUACCUUUGUAGUCUUUCGAAGUAAAGAGGAGAAUUUUAAUAAAAUUUCAGCAUCUAUUAUGCUUUCCUUUGAAGGUGUGACUACCUUCUUCCUAAGUGUGAUUUGCCUUGGAACCUUUUUGUGAUUGUCAAAGACUAUAUAUGUAUGUAUUCCUUUUUGUUGAUUGGUUGGGUUCUUGUUGAGGUUGUAUUAGCCCCUUCUGUUGGGUUGUUCUUUUUCCCCUUUAUGCCAUUUUGGCGGUGGUUGUAUAUGUAUUGUAUACCUUGAGUCAAUCUUUUGGUGCCUCUUCUUAUAUCUUCCUUUUUAUCUAAAAAAAAAAAAUUCCUUUUUAUAUUUUUCUGUCAUCUUUUAUUCUUUUCACCUCAUUCUAUAACUUAAGAAAUCGUAUAUUGCUUGAAAUUUUAAGAUUGUGCAAUAUGUUUGCUUGAAAUUAUAGGAUCUCAUUAUAUCAUCUCAGCCCCUUUUUAACUGCAACUUUGCACUUUUUGACAUUAGAUAUGAUUUUAUUUCAGACAAAAUCAGGCCUUCUGAUGUAGGUCUUGAACAGGAGGCACAAUGUGCACGGGUAUGGUCAGGUCCCAUGCAUCAGUGUAAUGGCAGCCAUCCAUCACUACCACCAAUCAAAUACCUGCAUUUACAUGAGUGUGACAGCUUUUCUGUAAGUAUUUGACUCUAGGUUUUCCAUUGUUAAUAGAAUUCAAUAUUUUACACCUGGUUUUCUGAACUUAGGUUAUGUUUGGUUCUAAAAACUAUGAGGUAAAGGAAAAGGAAGGGAAGAAAAAGGAAAGAAAGUGCAAGUUUAAGUCCGAUACAUUUUCCUGCAUCUUUCCCCUGCUCUAUUGACCUUUCCCUUGCUGUUUCCUCGUCCAGACAGGCCCUUAAUGUUCUGAAACUUGAAAGCUAGAUAACAGAGACUCACUGGUUUUUGAAUUUUCUUGCAGAUAGGAGUCUUUUGCAUGCCACCUUCCUCUAUUAUACCCCUUCAUAAUCAUCCUGGAAUGACUGUGUUGAGCAAGCUUCUAUAUGGUUCAUUAUAUGUAAAAUCAUAUGAUUGGCUUGAUUUUCCUGCAGCUGCUGAUCCAUCACAAGGUGUGCUUUUUUUAGCAUAUCAUAUCUCCCACUUUGAUUAUGACAAAUGGUGCUUUGAUGCUUUGAAAUGACACUCAGAACUAUGCUCUUGUUCCUUCAAAAUCAAGUAAUGCCCUGAUUCUGGAAUUUUUAUUUUUCAAGUAGGAUGUUUAUUGUUGUUGCGAAGUGAAAUUGUUUACAUGAUUGUAGGGACCUUCCUUCCUAUGUAGUGUUUGUAGGGUGUUUUAGGCUUUUGGAUUUUCUUUGUUCUUUGUUUUGUUCUUUUCUUCCUACUUAGCUUGGAAUAUGGCCUAUUCUUCAUCAUACCCUCUCUUUAUGUUAAUAAAACAUUUGUUUCCUAUCAAAGAAAAAGAUGCCAAACCACUGUAGCAGGGAUGUUCAUUCCACUGCAGUGAGUUGCUGUUAAUGCUACCAUAGCAGUGUACUGAAUGAGGAUUUUGCAUCCUUUUGUGAGUCCUUAUUAUGAACUCAAAACUAGAGGUUAUGAUUUUUUAAUUCAAGGGAUCUGAUAGAUUAUUUUGUGUUUAGUGUUCAGUGGUUUAUAAAAGCUUUGUACUCGAGUUAUUAGUUAUUUAUUUAUCUCUUUAGGUCCCAGAGGAAUUCCACUAAUUUAAUGAAUGAUCAAGGAGUAUUUUUAUCUUCAAACUGUGAAUGGAUUUGUUGAAUUUUGUUGGAAAAUUUGAUAGAAGCCUUUUAAGAUUGGGCAGCUACUCUGGUGAGGUUUAUUGAUAGGCAUGACAUGAUGAAUGAAACGAGUUUGAUUUGCUAUUAUGAACCUUACUCAUCUUGCUUAGAUUUCAUGGACGGUUGUAUGGAAUGUAUUUGAGAUGCAGGAUAAACUCUUAUUAUUAGUUUUAAAGCAAUGAAAUUAUGGAUAAAACAGAUGUAUUACAGUGACUCAGGAUGAGCUUUUUGGUUAGCAAACAACUCUUAGAUAAGGAAGCACUACAGUUGUUGCGUACAUGAACAAGGUUUAAGGAUGUAUGAAUUCUAGGUAGGGGUGUUGAUGAUCCAAGCCAAACUCUCCUCCAACCUAAGUCAGGAUUGCAAGUGUCGCUAAAUGGUAACACAUGUCUUCAAUUUUGACGAGUUGUUUCAAUUGGCUUUUGUGAUUGAGAAGAAUAUGAAGUAGAAUCUUACUAGACUGUUCUCAAGUCUGCUAGAUAAACCCGAAAAAUUUCAAUAAGGUUUGUAGAGGCUUUUAUCCUCCUCAGUGCAUGGUAACCUCCAUGCAGGCUUUAAACCUCAUUCAAUGGAUGACAUCAACACCUAAUGGAUUUUUGAAGGGAAAAGAGGGAUGGCCUUUGCAAGUGUUGAGAGGACCAUAUGCAUGUUAGUACUAAACCACUGGGGGUACCUGAUUUAGACAAUGAUAAUUUGUAGUGAAUAUCUAAGUGUGUGCUCUUUGAUGUUGAUGUUGUCUAAAAUUGGGAGGUAGAUGCCACUCUUCUCUCUGUUUUAAGUUCUAAUACAUGACAGGUGAAAAAAAUAAAAAUAAAUAUGUUUGUAUUGAGAUGAUGAUUUUUGAUGUUAUGUCCUAGCCUUACUGAUAUCUUUUGGGAGAUCUUUUAAAUGGUAACUUGUCCUUUUUUGACAAUGUGCCAGUCCAACAAAAAGCAUGUCACCAAUUCCAGGCUAAAAUUUAUCUUUGACAUAAUUUUUUCUUUGUUAUAGGCUAAUUUUUCUUUGGUUAGUUUCUUAUGCAUAUUUUUUUAGAUUAAGCUUGAUUUUUAAUAUUAAGAUUGAGAUAAUUAAGCUUGAUCAUGCUUGAUUUUUCUAAAGCUUGUAGGUUCCCAAAGUUUGUCUAUUUUGUUGUCUUGGAUAGAUCACCUAUGAGGGGGGCAAUGUGAUAGGCAUUGCUUAGAAUUUGAACAUAAUGGAUAGGUAGAGAUGUAUUUCUAAGCUUCUAGGUGAGUUUUUAGCACCUUGACAUGGUUGCACAACACCAAGGCUUCAUGUGGUGGCACCUUGCACCCAUUAAGUGCCUAUGACAUGUGGGGAGACAUGUCAUGCACGAGGCAAGGUGAUGAAUGAGGCUAAGGAUCAUGUCAAGGCUUGGUAGUGGCAGCACACAGGUGUGCACAAGCAAGGCACCAUGUGGGUGGCUUGACCUAACAAAAAUUCAAGUGCGGGAUUUUUUAUGAUGGAAAAUUUUCCUUUAAAGAGGAUGCCUUGAGUUAGGGUUUCCAAGUGACAAAAUGAUUUUUCAGAUUUUCUAUUUUUUUAGAAAAUUCAUUAUGCUUGGUCAAACAGCUAUGAUAUCUCCUCCUAACACUCUGGGAAUGACUUAAAACGUUCAAGGAGGGGGGUGGCCCACUAAAGGGUGGUGAUGGUGACAAAUUAUGCCACAUCAAGAGCAUGACAUGAGGGCAAACAUGAGCAAGGAUUGAUGGUGAGCCUUGCUAGCUUGCAUGCAUGAGCGCAAUGCCAUGUGUGGUGCAACCCUUGGGCCUUAAUAGGGGGUUGCGGUUAUGGUGCAUGGCAUGAGGAUGCGUGCUUCGGUUGGAAGGAUCUAUGUGGUUAGCAGACACAUGGACGAUGAGCUAAGAAGAGGACUUAGCACCAAGGCAAGGUUGCAUAAGCAUGUGGGCCAAGAGAGGGCUCAAUACACAUGGACUGCCUAGAAACACAAGUAACAGGUUGGGUGGCACAUAAGGCCACCUAGACACAUAAAUGGCAUAAAUGGGCUUGAUGUUCGUGGGCUCAACAAGACGCAUGGGUUGGCACUAAGCAUGACACCUGUAGCGCACCUUGGCAUUGAGGCAAGCCCAAGUAAGACGAGGAAUGGGAGAUUGACAACUGAUAGGCUGAGAUGUGCUAGACACUUGACAUGAGCCAAACAAAUCUUUGCAACACAAGAGGCAUGUGGCAAGCAAAGGUGCAAGCAAGCAACUAAGUCCGUAUGAUAGAGGCAUGACAAGAGUGGGUUGUUGAGUUUGGGAACAGGUGGCAAAGUUAGAGGCAAGCAACACAUGCAACUAGACAUGUGGCAAAUGACUGAAGCCUUAGGAUAGGCUGAAGCAUUUGAAUUCAAAAGAGUCAAUCUCCUAGAUGAGGGGGAGUUGGUUGGCUGAUGGAUGCCUCUAUAAAUCGUGUGCCUACUAGUCAUUCUCUGCAUCAACUCACCAAAGAGAUUGUGGGAAUCUUGUUAAAAGAACCAGGGUUGUUCCUUGUAAAUUCUGUGGAGUAAUAUACAAGUUAGAGUGUUACUCUGUAAUCUUGUGUGGGCUGUGUGAUUUUCCUUGUUGCAUCUCGUGCAGGUCUGGUUAGAGAAGGUUGGCUUAAAGGGUUUUUAAGAUCCACACAACGUGAAAAAGUAGUGGGGAAAUUUUGUAGUUGUGACAUUAACCAAGUAAUUUAAAUGAAAGAUUCAAAGCUUAUGAAAAGGUCUAGACCAGCCAUGAUUGAUGAUACACGGUUGGAUGGUGAAAAAGCAUAUAUGAAAAUGAGUGGAACUGAAAUAAGUUGUUGAGCUGGAUGAGUAACAAGUUCAAAGUUCAUAGAAUGGGAAAUUAAUGCAAUUGUUUGAACCUGAAACACCACUUUUCAGUGACAGAUGAAGAAAAGUUGAUGAGAUGGACGGUUAUUUAAAAUGGACACGUUCCAUUAAGUACUAAGGUGCAAGUUGAAAGCUCGGAAUGGAUACUGUGUUGAGGAGAUAUUUGUUAUCUAUUAUUUUCUUGGUACUUUGUGAAUUUCACUUAACAAUAGUCAUGACCUUCAAUAGGUAGAAAUGGGAGAUUGGACUGAUCUUAGAGGGUUGGAACAUGACUUACUCUGGACCAUGUUGUAUCAUAGUUUAAUGUUGAUUAUAUUUAGUUGGUUUUCACUUGUGGGAUUGACAGCAAAUAUUACAAUUGAAACUGCAUUUUGGUUUUCGUUUUUAUGGCUUAAUUGGCUGUUAAUUUUUUUACUGAAAUGUCUGUAUUUUGCUCUGUUACUUGUUUUAUCUUCUUUUUACUAAGGUUUGAUUGUUAUAUGUGCAGCAAGACCGGCAGAGCUUGUUAGGGAUACUGAGAUGACAGCGCCUUGUGGGACAACAAUCCUUUAUCCAUCGUCUGGGGGCAACAUCCACACUUUUGAAGCUGUAACUCCCUGUGCUAUCUUAGACAUCCUGUCUCCACCUUACUCUUCAGAGAAUGGGCGUCAUUGCACUUAUUUCCGGAAUUCUCCAAGAAAGGAUCUACCCGGUAAAAGAAUUUAUUUUCUAUUAACCUGGUUCAUUAGCAUUUAUUUUUUACAUUUCCUCUCUGAAACAAAAGGAUUUGCCUUUUGAUUGUUCCUCUCAACUACUAACUCUUUUUUAUUUGUGUUUAAAUGAAGGCGAACUUCAGUUGAAUGGAAUGACCGUUUCUGACGUGACUUGGUUAGAAGAGUUUCAACCCCCUGACAACUUUGUGAUUAGGAGGGGGCAGUACAGGGGACCCGUCAUCAGACGUUGAGAAUUCUUGUUUUGGGUGUGCCGUACAUUUGAAUGAAUUAGGAUUUUCCAUAUUAGGAAACAUUGGGGGGAAGCUCUGGUAUAUGGGUUGUCAAUAGCCUUGGCAAUAAUUAAUCUUAUUGGCUAUAUAAGUUUAGGUAUUUGGAAUGUACAUAUUUAUAUACCAUUAUAGUACUUCCAUUCACUGACCUCACCUUUAACUAGUGGAACAGUCACCGGAAUUUGUGAGAACUUGUGUCUGAUAAAGUUCUUAUGGGGAAUUUUUCUCCCAUUGCAAUAGGCAGAUGCAAUCUUUUUGUCGCCCUAGUUAAGCAGCUGGGUGUAGAACUACUUUCUAGUCCUUAAAUCAUCUUGCGUUGCUCAAGCUCAGCUUUGUUUAACAGGUGAAAACCAAAGCUCAAUUUGUCACCUUCAGUUUUUUCUGUCUCUUAUGUUUUGGAGAAGUCAGACCGAUGAUUGGCCUGACUAAAUAACUAAUAUGUUAAAGAUCUGCGCUGUGAUCUAUAUCAAUGCCAAUUAGUAAUUGAUAUAUCUUCACAGAGCUCGGGUUUUGACACUUUCGAGGCCAUGGCUAAGGAGCUAACUGAUGUGUUUGAGCUCCAAGUAUCUAUGCACAGAAAGCUACCUUGGUUAUCAGCAAGAAUUAAUUGCCCUGUAAUUUAAUCUGAUGCUGAAGUAAAAAUUUGGGAUUGUUACAUAAAUGUCCUGGACCAAUUGCUAGUGGGAAAGAUUGCAAACUCCCCAAUCUUUAGAAUAAAAAGAAUGGAUUUAAGUUGUUUCUUAAUACAGGUUGAGGUUUUAUAUGGUAUGUUGUUAAUGAUUGUUGUCAUGACAUCAUGUGAAUCCAUUAACCUCAAUGCCAAAUAGAGGUUUAGAGAUUUAGGAUUGUGUGUGCUUAUUUCUUGGCAAGGGUUUAGGGUUGAUAUGGGAUGUAUCAUUCUUCCAAAUAGGAUCACUAAAUUAGGCAUUUGCCUCAUAUUUACAUGAGUAUUUCAAAGAUUAAGAAUGAAUUCAUAUAGAUCAGAACGUUCCAAUAGCAAUUCUAAAAUAAAUGAUAAAAUCAAUAUAAAUGGACUAAAAGAAAUUGAUCAAAACCAGUAAUGGUAAAAAGAAGAAUCAUACUCAAAUUAGCUGAAAAUGAAGGAAAACAACAAACAAGAAGCAGCAACAGAUGAGUAAAACCAUACCAAGUUGGUUGAAGGCAAAGAUUGAUGAAGAGCAUUUGAAUGCAUCACCCUACCAAGUGAACCAGAAAGAGCCAAACUUUGAUCCAAAUAAUGAUGUGGGACUUUGGGUUUUAAUAGAAGGGCAAUGGGUUUAAGUUGCAGACCAGAAACAGUGGUAGCCCAUGACCUAAAAUUACAGUGGGCUGUGUUACAGGAGGUUCAUGGCACUCACACGUUCACAUCAUUCUUUUUUCUCUUCUUGUUUUUGUUGUUAGUGCAAAAAGUAAUAGCUGAGUUGACCAAAUUUGAGAUGUGAUUGGUGGGAUUCUCAGCUAAAGACACUUGAAACCUACCAUUGGAGCAAUGAGCAUUAGUGAAUUACUUCCCAGAUAAUUAUGAGAAGCAGUGGAUUAUAAAUACUGUCAAGUUGAACGUGGAGUGCUGAGCCAUACCGCGGCUCACCUGGUUUUCAUGCUGCAACUUGGAAUUAUCAAAAUGGAAAAUACAAAGUGGUAGUUAUCUUGAUGGGAGGGUGUAGUUGAAUGAAGUUUGGUGUGACCCAGCAUCUAAGCUUACCCUAGGCCACCACUGGCCAAUCAUGGGUUUCAGUGGCUAGCUAGCCAUGUGGUUGAAUUCUCACCCGUGAGUCUGAUUGGUUGAUGGCAUUGUCCACAGAAUAUCCAGGCUCAAUGAACCAGCAUCUUGUUGUGGGAACCUAACACAAGAAUGUGCUUGUGUCACUGCUCAUGAGAAUUUCUUUAGUCUCAUCCACCACUUCAAACUCAAAUUUUUUAGAACGUUCUAAAAACUGUUUUGUUAGUUACAAAACCCGUUUUCUAAGUUAGAAAACUGGUUUAAUAAAUUACUUAUAAAAGCAGUUGUUUUAGCAUUUGUAUUUUGAAAUAUUUUUAGUUAUUUUUUAUAGAGUUUUUUAAAAAAAAAUUUUAAUAAUAAUUUAAAAAAUAGAUAAUAUUUUGAAAGCUUUUGUAUUGGACAUCAGUGUACAAUACUCUAUGGAGAAUAAGCUGAGAAAUUCCUUUUUAUAUGUAUAUUAGAGUUUUCAAACAUAAUUUUAUUCAUUAAAAAUAGUAGAUAAAUAUUUUCCAAAACGGUUCUAAAAAAAUAUUUUGAAAAUGUUUUCAAACAAAUUCUUAAUUUCUAACUGUCUUUUCUUUUGCUAUUUGGAAGUAGGUUUUUAUUCAUGAAAUAUGAAAAUUAAGAAAUGUUAAACAAAACUAUAUAUAUUAGGGAGUUUGUUCAAGAAAAAUUUGUUUGAUUGAGCAUUUCAAUGUUUGAAGACAUAAUUAACUUACACUAGAACAAAAUUAUAGAUAGUGGUCUUCUACACCACUUUUUGGGCUUCAAAGUUCACCAUGUUCUACAGCACAAGAAACUACACCCAUGGUAUGGUGGGCUGCUGCGUACAUCCUCUUGACUGGUAUUUAGUUUAUAACUUUCCACGUGAUGAUUUCAGCCCAUUGUGCAUGACCAGCCCAGAGGCAGAUGGACAGUCAAGAGUCAAGAGUACUCCAAGAGAGAGAGGCAGUGGGCAGUGGCCACAAGGAAAAGAGAAUUUUUUGAGAACGUAAAUUUGAUUAUAAAAGGGUUUAAAGUUUAAGCUAAAACCCAGAAGAGGAUAAACAUUAAUGAGCACACUUCUCAGUUGAAACAAGCCAAUUCACUUCUUUUGGUGCUAGUUUCCAUGCUACUUCUUGACUGAUUCUUACCCUAAGAUUCAUCUCCCUCCUUCCGCAAAACAUGGGCAUGUGAUCUACAACACAUACAUACAAACACACACACAGAUCGGAUACAUUGCCUAUGUUCGCGGCGACACUUUAGCCAACACCAAGCCAUUCACACCUAGAUUCUUUGCAUUAUAGCCUUUUUAUAUGGAGUUUAUGAAGAAAGAGAUCAGUAUGAUUAUUCUCCAAGUCCAAAACCAGAUGGGUGUGUAAGCUUCCCUCAUUCUAUUUUACUUGCUUUUGAGAUCUCUCUCAUCUUAAUUUUUAUGCUUUGGGAAUAUUUGGCCAUUUAUUGCAUGUGUUAGCAUUUUGGUUUUUUAAAUAUUGUAGCUAGGAGUUAGGUUUGGAGGUGUUUAUAUUAAUAAAACACCUAGAAUAAUGCUAGGUUUUCAAUUAGAGUCUGCCACAUUGUACAAAUAACUUUAAUUUUUACAAAAAUAAAAAAUAAAAAAUUAUGAUUCUUUUAAUGAAGACUUUAUAAACUUAAUUGUUUUAAUUUCCAAGUGCCUGAUAACCCUAAGGCUAUAUGGCAUUGAUGUGAUUAAAGGGUGGGUAGGAGUUGAUCAUCCUUUCAUGAAUUCAAACUUGGAUAGUAAUUGGGUUGGGUAUAUUAUGUCAAUGGAAGUCUGCUUCAUCUCUGCAGGUUUGGCUAGCAAAGACUUGCAAGCUCAAAAAAGGAGUUGGCACUGAUCAAAGACUAGUACUCUUAUAGACUAAUUGGUUUAUCAGCAUCGAUUGAUUGGUUCAUUAGAAGGUCAAGUACAUUCUAUGAUGAUAACAUCUAUAUGAACAACAUACUGUAUGUGCACAAAAAUCAGAUUAGAUUAAACAAGUUCUAAGAUCUGAUUUAUCUACCAUUUUCAAUUUGGACCUCCAAGGCCUCGUUAUCGGUAUCGCAGAACCCAAGUGGCUAAAAACAAAUGUGUAUAAUAAACUAUCCAUGGUUUUUGGUAGAACGACAUAGCCUCGGUCUCCAUCCUGCUUCUGUAAUUGAGAAAGUAUGAUGGAUGAAGAACGUCAUCAUUUCUUGCAACUUUCAUGGGCCCUCUAUGUAUGAAUUAUAUUAUUCUUUCAUUGUUUUAUCUUUUUAGUUUAUUAAUCUUGGUGACAAGGGAUCAUAACUUGCUAGAAAUGGCUACUGAUCUUGUUCUUGAAGCUUCACUAUGACACGUAUAUAUACCUAGUUUUACAUUAUAGAACCCUAUGAUAGAUACAAGCUGAAUCGACAAUGCAUGACACUGAAGCAUGGUGAUUAUGAGAAAUAAUAUUAAUGCUUGUAUGUACAGACCUAGUUAUUGAGUUUUAAUUUCUAUCUCUUUAUUUUUCUUCACAUAUAAUUUAGAUUCAUUAUAGAUUGUCACCGAAAUGAAAAUAUAUAGAUGAAAUUUGCAACUUAGUGGUGGUUUGAUAAACUAAUUUAAUAACUUAAAAUGAUUUAAUAAUUUAAUUCAAGUCAUUAAAUAAAUUAAGGUAGUAUUUGUUUUUUUGCUUUUUUGUUUAAAGUAGUUUGUUUUCAAAAUUUAGGUAGUUUGUUUUUCUAUUUUUUUAUGACUUAUUAUAAACUUUUUAAUAAAUAGAAAAAACUAAAAUAUGUAGUUUUUUUUAAUUAAAUAGAAAAAAUAACAUAUUGGAUUUUUUUACUUUUUAAUACUUAAUAGAAAUAAAAUACUACAAAAAUAAACAAUCUAAUAUUUAACCACUAUUAAGGAUUAAAGUUCUAUUUAGAAUUAAGUAAAAAAACAAGCACCAUCUAAGUAUGUUUAGUAAAAUGAUAACUUAAAGUUAAAAAUAAUUUUAAGUUAUAAGUAAAAACGAUUAAUCCAUUUUUAAGUCUACAUAUUUAUUUUACCUUCAUUUAUCUUAAUUAUUUUCAUGAUCUCCUUUGUUUUUUCAUAACCUUCACUGUUACUCAAUCUUUUAUACCCUAAUUAUAAUUUAUGAGGAUAAAUAUGUUAAUUUAAAAUUUUAAAAUAUGUUUUAAGUUAAUUUGAUCAAACAAACUUAAUACUUAAAGUAAAAUUAAAUAAUAAAUUUUAAGUUAACAACUUAAAUUAUUAAGUAAUAAAUGUUAAGUUUUAUCAUACAUCCCUUACUAUAUCUCUAAAUUUUUGGGUUGAGUGAAGUGAAAAUAGGACAAAUUUCAUGUAACUCAAAAAAUUAGAAGUGGUUUAUGAAAUUCUUCUUGGCGUAGGUUUUGGUCAUAGAUUAUUGGAAUUGGAAACCUUUUGCAAGUGGGUUCGGGGGAGUUUCUAUACAGAUUUACAGAGAAAGUAGUGGAUGGAAAAUGAGGCAAAUUCAUCCAUGAAAUUUAGGGCUUGAUGCAGUAGCUAAGACAUACAACUUUGCUAAUGAAACUUCCUCAUCUGGCGUAUUAGAGCGCAUUGGUGUAUAUUCCACCAAAGAUUCUCCGUUUGGUUUGCCGAUGCAAUAGAAUAAUGAAAAUGUCAACUCCCCAUGCAGGAGAAGACAAAACAUAAAUGGGUUAAUCGGUGAUUAGGGAAAGAUGAACAAUUCCUUAAUUAUUUUCUUAACUACACAAAACCCGAUUAACCCGAUUGAUUAAUUUCCUCACCUCUCCUGCAUAGCCUUUACCAUUCAAACUCUUACUUUAAUCCUUCGAAUAUUUGUCUUCAUUGCCUUAUUGGAAUCCAUGAAUCUUUCUCUGUCUCUCUCUCACACACACACAUCUUCACACAUAAAAAUGUAUUCACACAUACCUAUAGUCAUAUUAAUAAAUGUCACACAUAUCUAGUCAGGUUUCGAGUGUCUUUUAGCUAAACCUAAUCCCUUCAAUGAUUCCAAUAGUGACCUCUUCUCUUUCCAAAGACUAAAUAAACAAUCUCUGUCGUGUGAGGACAAAAUUUUCAAAUUCUACCUAAAAUGCCUUGGAAAGUAAAUCCUUGGACAGUAGGUAGGAAAAUAGAGAAAAAAGACAACAUAAGGGUAUAACUAAUUAAUGCUUUAUGGGAGACAACAGUUCUCUCUUACCUAUCAUCUAUCAUUCUUUCACUUUUUCCCCUUCUAUAACUUGUACUGUCUCCUUCAAUUUCUAGACCAAGUGUUGGGUGCCUCAACAUUACCAGCUGCUAGCAUUUUUUAUUUUGCAAAUUAGAUCUUUGGAAUAGGGUGAUUCCAUACUAAUUUUUGGUUUAUUAAUGAAUAUAUUUUCAUUAAUUUACAAAAAAGAGCAAGAUUGUUUGUAUUCCCUUUUAUGAACUUUCUGAAUGUCUUAAUUCAAAAACUCUAUUUUAUUACUUGGCAUGUACUUUAAGCAGUGUAAAGGACUGGAAGCUCAUGAGUGGAGUGCAAACAUUUAGGAAUACCCUUUUCUUUGAUCAUUCAAGUAAUCAGGAGAAACACACAUAAAAAGGUAGAAAAUGUUUGUUGAUUCUCUUUCCAAGGAGCUCCAUCUAUUACCAAGAAGUAUGACUAGCUAAGUAUGAGCUUGCAUACCACAAAACAUAUACCUAUUUUUAAAUAUUGGAGUAUGAUCACAAUGACUGUGAUGUGGGUCUCACUCAAUAAUUUAUCUAGUGAGGAAAAGGUUUAUAUACAUAUACUAAAAUCAUUAUCAUUUGCUGGGAGAAAGUUCACCGUCUUGUAUUUAUUUAUUUAUUUUCUGUAAAUGAGCUUAAUUAGUUAAAAAAUAAUAUCAUGAAGGGUUGUAUUAUGAUCUUCUAAUAAUUCACUAUUUCUUUUUGUAAUUACGUAUAAACUGGUUCUUGAAUUCAUCAACACUUCUCUUAUAAGAAUCCCAAUAGAAAAAAUGCCAACAGAUAUUUUUCUAAAGGUUGAUUGAUGUUGACACGUGAACUAAGAUUCUAGGUAGCAGAAGGCUAGUUUCUUGGCUAAUAUGGGGUUUCAUAUAUAUACCAGUUCUCAUUAAUUUUCAGCUACUCAGAAUCCAUUCUCUAAACAUCUUAGCUUCCAGUUAUUUUGUGCUCAACAAAGGAAACUUUACAUAUAUGUAUGUUAGUUUAUAUAUCCAUAUAGAAGGAUGACAUGGUUCUAAAAACUUAAUAACUAGGCAAUAAAUCUUGGGUGGAUGAUCAACAAUCUGAGGUUUCAAAAACAUAUAGUUUUUAUUCAACCUUUGUUAUUUGCCAAUUUAUCCCUAAAUAAGUUUUAGGUAGGUAUUGUGCUCCGUGUGACAAGGAAUCUUUCAUAUUAAUUAUAUGACUAGAUAGAUAAUAUAUAUGCAUAUAUAAUCCCCUAGUAGAAUUGCCCAGCUAGCUGUGACGUAGCAAUGCUUAUAGGGAAACCUAAGACAUAAAUUUAAUCACAUCACUUAAAAAAAUCACAGUAAUUUAUUUAGUCCCUAAAUCAAUACUUAGUUUUCAAAGAGGUCUUGAGAACUGGUUGUCUUUGGCACCUUUUAUAUUGAAUUGUGCUUUGCUAGAUUAGAAAAUUAAUCAGGCUAGCUAUAAGUAGCCUUUACCAUCCAGAUAUCAUUUCCACAUCCAGAGAUUCGGAAUACAGUUCUUUGUGAGCUGUGCUGGCGAACACUUGGUCUGAAGCCAAAGCAUGAUUUCUGGUUAUAUAUGGAUUAUUAAUUAGAACCACUAGCAACAGUUAAUUUCAAUCAUUGAUCAACUAAAAAAUUCUACACUAAGCUGAAUCUUUAAAUUAGAAACCAUACACUUCUUUUUUCCUUUUAACUUGGAAAAGAUAGGUAGGUAAUACAUGAUCAGCUAUUGUUUUUAAUGUACUUUAGCUCUACAUACUUAACUGAUAAAACUCAUAAAAGAAUAUGUGAUAGUUCCUUGGGGAGACGUGGUUGAGUCUUAGCUUGCCUAAGACCUUAACUUGUGUCAUCACAUUUGGUCUCAUCAGACAUGACUCGAGGUGAGAAACCAUGAAUGAAAUUCUUUCUUCUCAUCUGCAGAUGUAUGCUACUGAGUCAUGUUAACUCUUACUGCAUCCAUGAUUGAUUUGUUAUUUGUUUUAUAUGUUUGUAAUCAGAUUUAGGGUUAUUGCCCUAAAACCUCACAAUUUUUUUUUUUUAAUAAAGCUGGAAGCAUUGUGUGCAUGUUUUUACCCACCAAAUUCAGACUAUUUUACAGUUAACAUAGGCUAAUUUGGCUGGCCCAGCACCAUGGAUAAUAAUAAGAUCUAUUCAAAGGGUUUCAAAUUUCCAGAUCAGAACAAUGAAUCAAAGUGGUGGGAAUAUAAACAACAUAAACUAAAGCCAUAGGGAACAACAAUAAGAACAAAGGGACAGAGAAAUAGUGUUAAAAUAUAGGAAGAAAGUCAUCUCUUGAAAUGGUUGAGCAAUACAACAAAGAGAGCAGUCCCUAGCAGAGGUCAACCAUGAAGAUUAUCACGGAUGAGAGAGAGAGAGAGAGAGGGAUGGACAAGCUGUCAAAGAAGACCAAAACGAGAAAGGCUCGAGAAGUCACAUGAUUUUCAACAGUUCAAGAGAGUGGUGGUGGCAUCUUAACUCGUAGUAUUAGUAUUGUUAUCCUAGUGUAAAAAGGACAAAGUGGAAUUGUCCGACCAAUGUCUUCCCUUUCUAAUAUAGUAAUUGAAGUCUUUAAGAAAUCUGAAGUAUGACUAAUGGCAUGAAGCUUAAUUUCAACAGAUUCCUAGCCAGAAAAUAAAAUAACUCCCCAGAGUUCAAUGCAGCCAAAUCAUCUCAAUGCAUAACACAAGAGUACCAUGCAGUAGAUCUCUCCCUCUCUCCUCUCUCUCUCUCUCUCUCUCUGUCUUAAGAUUUGAUCUAUUCUUCGUUUACUGAGUUGUUUUUGGUCAAUCAACAUAUCCAUCAAUUGAUACACCAGCGUGUCUCAUGUUGGUAAGUUCAUAUGAAUCAUCCUUUGAUCUACUUUUCAGAUGCAUGCUUUGGAUUUAUUUAUCAAAAAACUUCUUUUCUGUUGGUAGGGAAGCUGGUUACUUCAUGAUCCAUCGAUCUUAUUUGAAUCCAAUACAAAGUGUUCUCAAAAUAUAGGAAAUUUGAUACACUUACUGAUUCUGCCGCUACUUUUCAUCUGAGCAGUCCAAAUCGUGGAAGAAAGAAAGAAUGAAGCUCCAUCAUCAAUGGUUUGUACUCAAGAGAAAAGAUUAAAUCCUCUGUGCAUCCAAGUCAUUAAUUUCUUCAGGAAGCUUAGACCCUAAGGUUUUAUGUUGUAUCAAAUUUCAGGAUUUUAGAAGUUCCAUAAAUCAUUCCCUUUUCAAUCUUUGGCCACUUUUUCUUUUUCUUCCUCCCCACCUAAUUUUAAACAGUUUCUUAUCAUUUCCAGAAAAGAUGUAUCAUUUUCCUUUUGCAUUCAACAAGAAGUUGAUCAUCCAAAAUUUUCUAUUGCCAAUUCAUAUAACCAAGCUUACUAAUAGUAAGUGCUAUUUUGUAGCUAAAUAUUGCUAUUCAAUUGCUAUAAAAGCUCAAACCUGAAUUUCAGUUGAUGAUUCAAUAUAUUCCUCUUUAUAUCUGUUGAUUUUUUUUUUUUCUGGAAUUUUCCAGGUCAUCUGCAUUUCGCAUCAUUCAUUGUGUUGUUUUUAACAUUUCUGAAGUAUUACCACCUAUCUCUUAGUUUUGCAAAGCAUGAACUACCAUGAAAUGAAUUAAGAAGGCAAACAAAAAUAGAGUUCUUGACACCUUCUAAGGCCAUCAUCAUGCUGGAAAAUUUCUUCCCCACCUGGGCACAAAAAUAAAAUUGUGAUUCUGUGCAAAUUGAUGAAGAUGUUUAAAGGGUUUCUAGUGACACAUGUACAUACUGCUGCCGUAAAUUUUUUUCUCUUUAGAAGAACACACAUACUUAUGAAGGCAUUUUCAUGAAAUAAAUGCAUGGUGAAUUUGUUAGAGUUAGCAGUUGAUCAUUUGAUAUUACAUAUAUAUGCACAUUAGUUAAGCAUACAUUACUUCAGGGAUAAUAUCUUGGAGGUUUGUACUUGGGAAAAAUCAUUUUGAUAACAUGAUAUUCAUGUGUCAAAAGAGGCUUCAACAUGAAAUAGGAAGGAGUUUCCAUUGUUUUUUAAUUUUUUUUUUCCUUUGUCUUUGAAGUACAAUAUAAUGCCAUUGAAGGGAGCCUAGUAGGCUAGUACUAUGGAAAAUACAUGAACCAAUACUGUUCUAGCCUUCUAGGAAACUUAGAAUGCCAUUUUGUUCACUCCACAUUUUUUUUCUUGCUUUCAUUUUUAUUACUAAUAUUUGGAGGAAAAUUCUUAGAUUAAUUACUGCUCUUAAUUUUUCCCUUCACCACAUUAAUAUUUCUAUAGACAUUCAUAAAAUCGAGAAAUUAAAAUUUACAUUCAUUUAAUUACCAUUAUUCACUUAUUUAUAAGUAAUGCAAGAAUAAUUAGGUAACUAGAAAUUCAGGCAUAUUAGUUGAGUUUGAUCUCAAAACUCUCCUUUUUACAUUGAUGGGUUGCAUGAUGUAUUCCUUCUAAUGCAUCCUAUACAUUCAGUUUGUUUGCAUUUUUUUUAAUACAUUCAUUUAUAACAAUGAAUAAGAACAUUCAUAUUUGGAGUCAAGAACACAUCAUUUUGAUCAAUUAAUUCAUUUGGAAUGCAACCGAAGAUCUCUUUGGAAAUUUUACAUAUGCAUGAUCAUUUAAGUAAAAUUUGUCAGAAAUUAUUAAUUCCUCCUAUCCUCAUCAUUCUAAUGCAUUUGUUUUCUUCUUGCCUCAAAAUGUUAUCUAUCUUAAUUAUGCUAUACUUCUCAUCUGCCUAGCUAAUGCAAAUCAAUGAUUCAAAAUCUAACAGCACACAAGACUGUCCUCAACAGCCAAGUAGCUACCAGGAAGUCUAGAAGUUCAAGGCUGCGGGGAACUGCUAAAGAGAUAGAAUACUAUUAGCCAUGGCUGAGAGAAUAGAGAUUUCUGAUGAUAAUAGGAGUGAUGGAAGUGAAAUUCAAACCAAAACCUCAUCUCUAUUAUGUUUUCCAGGGCAUUUGUCCUUUGACUUGAAUCAAAAGGCCAUGGAUGAAGAGGAUAGUAGCACCACUGGUGUUCCUGAAAAUGAAGUUAAAGAGGACGAGACAUCAACAGAUGCUAAUUACAGUAACAGUAGUAACAACACAACUGUAGAAGGGAAAGAACGAACAACAGUUAGGCAAUAUAUUCGAUCAAAAAUGCCUAGGCUCCGUUGGACUCCUGAUCUCCAUCUUGCUUUUGUGAAUGCUGUUGAAAGGCUUGGUGGGCAAGAAAGUAAGUUUUCUUUGGGUGCAGACUUCUGAGUGUAUUUCCAUUUCAUCGUUCAGAAAUAUCAAUUGGAAUAGGGAAGAGAAGAAAGUUAUUGCUCUAUCAUCUUUGUGGAAUUGUUUUCCCAAAGAUUUUUCCAUCCCACACAAAUAACUGAAAGAAAACUAUUUUCUUAAUGUAUCAUCCCUUUUUUUACUUUGAUUUUGUUUGAAUAAAUGCAGGAGCAACUCCCAAAUUAGUUCUUCAGUUGAUGAAUGUGAGAGGACUUAGCAUAGCUCAUGUAAAGAGUCACUUGCAGGUAAUGAAAAUGACCCAAGUUGGUUAGGUUAACUCUGUCAACAUUUAUAUCAGAGCGACUAGUCCCAUUAUUUUUAACCAUUAAUAUUUUUGCCUUUGUCCAUUUUCCUGAAUUUAUGCAUGGUGAUCUUCAAAUUCAGAUGUAUCGAAGCAAGAAGCUUGAUGAUUCUGGACAAGGUAAAAUUUCAGUGCCCUUUUAGCAGUUCAACACUAUAUCUUCGGUUUAUAAGGUCUGUUAGUAUACAAUUUAAAGACAGGUUGACAAGUUGAUGAAACAAACUAGCCAAAACCACUGAUCAACAAAGUAUGACAUCUAAACUACAGGGCUUUGAUCACAUGAAUAGCUUUCACGCUAUUCAGCUGUAUCUAGCGUCUGGAUUGCAUCUUCAGCUUGAAUUGGCCUAUUUAUGGAUAUAAUAGGUCAUUAUUUGAACAUGACUUUCAAAACAAGAGUAAAGAGAAAAUGCUAAAAUUAACCAAAAGACAGUUUUCAUGUUAGAUUAGAGUUCGCUCAUUAUUUGAAGAAAGUAAUAGUAUCAGAUUCAUGAGCUCUUGCUGGUUUAUGAGCUGAUCACUAUUUUUCUGUUUUCCCUUAUUUAUUUGUUUAUUUAUUAUUAUUUUUAAUUUGUGCAUCUUUUGUACAGUUCUAUCUCACACGAGUAGACCGAUGUAUGUAAGAGAUCACAUUCUGGAGAUGUACCAAAGAGCCAGUCCUUACGGACACUUUAGAAUGGAGAACAGGAGCCACUUCUUUUCUCCUGUAUUGAGACAGAAGUUUGACCCCAAAGCUAGCUCUUCAAGGUCACUAAAUUACAACUCCAGUGAUGAGAAACCCAAAAGAACUUGUUUGGCAAAUGUUUUAGACAUAUUCCUAACUGAUGAUCUCUGUCCUUUUUCUCUCAUAUUAUAGAAACCAACAGUGGGCUUUCGAUCAUGAUGUGAGGCAAACAAGUUCGCUAUGGAGGAAGGAUUCUGAACUUGAUCUGAUGAGUACGGAUUGGAACAAGGACCGGUCAACAAACUCACACCUGUUUGAUGUAAGGGAUGGGGGAACAGGAAUUGUGCCGAUUCAUACUAGCCGAUUUCUUGAAGAGAAGAAGUGGCCUCCACGGGAGUUGAUCGAAAAUCAAGGGAAGGGUAGAAAUAAUUCUCAAAAUAUAUGUUGGGAUGGUUCCUAUUCUGAACUUCUAUUAAACCAAAUGCAUCCGAAGCCAAUUUCAUUUGGUGGCAAUAACUAUGCCAUGCAGCCUUCUAUUUGGAGUACCAAUCCCAGCAUCAUCAACAAACAACUUCAAUCCAACAGAUGUAAUCCCUUGUUCUUAUCAAAUAGCUUUGAACCUGAGUUUGAAUCCCCAUUUCGAGUCGAGGUAUUUAACAUAGAUCACUCUUUUCCAUAUGCUUAUAUCUGAAAUUGGUUAAUUGAACUGACUUGAUCUAACCCUUUUAAAAUGCAGCUCCACAGGUUACAAGAAAAACAACCCCAGAGCAUAAAUGAAAUGGUAUUGCAAGCAGAAGAAAGUGCCUUUGUAGACAGGUUUAAAGAGAAGAAACAGCUACCUGAUUUACAGUUAAGUUUGAGCCACAACUUUGAAAUUGGUAAUGAAGUGAAUAUUAAUCCUCGGGAAAGCACCAAAGAGAUCAGCACAAUGCUUUCUCUUUCUAUGGCCAACUCUUCGUCGAGAAAACAAGCACAAUCUAGUGAAAACAGAAGAGAUUUGGAAGUUAAAAUUUGGGAUAGUUACAAACAAGUGGUACCAAGGCCACAGGGCUGAGUACUUAUUAGGAUCUGACCAUGUAAAAUUGAGCAUAGAAGUGAGAUCUUUUAAGUACUUGUCUUAAAGGCCAAACUGGACAAUUAGUUUUGCUGCUCACAAUAAGGUAUCCCCAGUUGUUUCUCUCAGGUUAAAACUGGAUGAUAGUUGCAAGCUAGCAUUUUUUUUCUUUUUUUUUCAAUCUUAAAUAUUUAGUUCCUCAAUUUCAUCAUAUGGUUUUGCUGAAAUUAAUUAACAUAAAAGUUCAAAAUAAUAUAUACUGAAUGAAUUAACUGCAAUGCGGAGUAUUUGCCUACAUGUACUAAAGCUGUAAAUCAAGCUUGUCACUACAAAAAUGCAGCCUUUUGAGAUCUUUGCAAAUGGUUCAUUGCUUAGAUGGUGAGUCAGUUAAUAAGGAUGCUUUCUCAGGCAAAAUGAAUUUGUUGUCUUUCAUGGGUGCCAAGAUAUAUGACAAGAAACAAGCUCUCUUGCACUUUCACUUUCCAACUACUGAUUGCUAGUAUGGAAAUCUCACUUUGAAUAUAUACAGUCGUGUGGGUGUAUGUUUAUUAUGUGAAAUCCUUCAAUCAGUAAGAUUAGCAACUAUACACAUUCCUCCAAUUUUCCCUGCAAUGUCCAUUGUCCAGUCUGUGGGAUCAGUGUGAGCUAGCUAGCCCAUGCAUUAAAAGGCAAUUCCUUUACUGUGGAUAAUAAGUUGAAGAACAGAGCUAGGUUUCCCAACAGGUUAAAUACUGAAACGCAUAUUGGAAUAUUUAGAAUAGAUAGGUGUACAAAUGUCCUCAACUUUGUAAGUUUACAUCCCAUGCAUGUCACCAUGUAUAUCAGAAAAUAAACAACUUUUCCAAGUUAACAAAAUAGUACUUAACUUUGAUUACUGGAAAAAAUUAAGGUUUGGAUCCUUUCAAAUAACAUGUCUAAGGAUCAUGUGGACUAGCUAUUAGGAUUGCCAGAAAAAGAAAUGGUACUGAAUACUAAUAUUAGCUCAUAUAAAUCAGAACUCAGUUUCUUCAAAAAAAAAAUUUAUGAACAAGACCAGUUUCUUAGUUGGGGGAUCCUGAUAAUGUAAGGCUGGCUAGCUAGCUCUGCUGGGGCAUAAUGCUGCAUCAGCCUCACAUUGAAUCCGGAUAAUUUGGGUUGUGUCUUGACUGAGGCUCUUAAUUUAUAUGAAUUGUCUAAGGUGCUCUUUAGCACCUGAAGAAGUAUGAGUAGCAGUUCCUAUAACAUAGAUAUAUUAAUCUUAAUUCCAUGGUGUUUUAACUUUUUGUUAAACAAACUUAGUAGUCAAAACUCCAUAGGGAAGUACCUUGUAGAGAAAGGCUCAGAAUCAAACCAAGUUUGUUCUCUCUGCCCAGGAAUAUAUACAUGCUAUCCCCACCAACUGAUUGUGAUAUACAUUGAGUGGUAUGUCAUAUAAUUUAUGUUAAACAUCUGAGACAUCUACACUUUUCCCAUUUGAAAAAAGCAAUGAGCAACUAUAUAUUGAAAAAUGUCACAUAGUUAUAGAGAAAGACAUCGAGUUCAUAGCAGAAGCAUUUGAAAACACAAAUACAUUUCUUCUGUCUAACAAAAUCUGGGAUAUGCUAUGCUGAGCAUCUGGAAAGAGUUUCACAAUUUGAGAAAUUCUUUUAUAUACCAAUUAGAAACCUAUGCGCAUGAGUAUGAGAAAGGGGAAAAAGACAGUACUUCAUUAUAACUUAUAUUUUGUCCUCAACGAGUCCCUUUAAUUACUUCAUUAUAGCUUAUAGUUGUGCUCAACGAGCCCAGCCCCAAGAGGAGUUAAGUAGAAGGCAAAGCGAUUCAUUUAUUAACUUCCGAUAGUGUUUGUUAAAAGGCAGUCCAUAAGAACGAAGGGCUCACAAUCGUGGCCAGUUCCCUCUUUGUGAUGCAGAACGGGUGCAUGUUCUUAAAGGCAGAAAACACUGAGGCCAAGUAUACAAUAUGUGGAAAAACAGAUACGGUGUGAUGAGUUUAAUAUUAAAUUAAUUGGAUACCUUCUUUUGCUCGAACUAUGCUUGUGCUGUCCAGUAAAAUACCAUUUUCUUCAACAGAAUCCACCACCUCCACCUCCACCUCCACCUCCACCUCCACAGCCACCGCCGCCGCCACCACCA
rnacentral:lncRNA from 1 species